GACGAACCGUGCGAACGUUAUUCGGAAUCACUGGGCUUAAAGCGCGUGUAGGCGGGCCGCCGCGUCGGCUGCUGAAAUCCCCCGGCUCAACCGGGGAACGGGCACCGAUACGGGCGGCCUCGAGGGGGGUAGGGGGGCCUGGAACUUCCGGUGGAGCGGUGAAAUGCGUAGAGAUCCGGAGGAACACCAAAGGCGAAGGCAGUGUCCUGGGGAGUACCUGACGCUCAGGUGCGAAAGCCAGGGGAGCGAACGGG
rnacentral:rRNA from 1 species